rnacentral:lncRNA from 10 species
ACAAUUAGUUGGAGCUUUCUUUGGUCAACAGCAGAUGUGACUAAGAAAAUCACGCUGUUUCACUUAGAGCAGUGGUCACCAAGUGUGGUCCUUAGGCCACACAGGUCAGCAUCACCUAGGAACUAGGAAAUGCAAGUUCUUAAGCAAUCCCACCCAGACCUACUGAAUUGGAAGUGCUGAGGAUGGGGUCCAGCAAUCUGUGGUUGAACAAGCUCUGCAGAGCUUUGCAGAACAGAUCACCAUAACAACCACCAUCCUGGGAGACAGCAAAAGAACAGAGAGAAACAUCCUUUUUAUUUGCCUGAAAAUCAAGGGACAGCAGGGAAACGGGUCUUUUCAUCAAAGCUUGUUUUGGUGUCUCCCAAGUUGGAGGGUCCAUGUGCCAAGGGACGGCAGUGGAAGAAGUCAACAUGUUUAACAGACUACACCCAAUAUGUGUGAUUUUUAGGGAUCAGGCAUCCAGGAGCAGAGCUGUGGGGCAGCAGAAUCUGUGAUGACAGAGAA